rnacentral:lncRNA from 1 species
GGCAUCCUCUGGAGAGAGGAGACGCUAUGAACGUAUGGGGCUAAUUACAUGUAACACAACAUCUUUCAGAUAACUUAGGACUGCGUUGGUGUCAAAUAGCGGUUCUGGGCCGAGUAACAUUACUGGAUUAAGGGGGAUCUGCUGCCGGUAUGCUAGGGGAAAAUGUUUCUCUCAGAUUCGGCUGCCCGACACUCCAGGAGGACGUGGAGGACGGUCAGCCUCUCCCCGCAUCUACCACAGGUUGGAGGAUCAUUUUCAGGUGCAGUACACCGGAUUCCGAGAAGGAUGGACCAAUGGCUGCGUAGGACACCCCGGCAUGCGACUUAGAAGCGUCUGUGUAAAACUCUGUGCACGAGUACUUGUACUGGAGCUCCAAGAAAUGCAUUUUGA